UACGGGGGGGGCAAGCGUUGUUCGGAAUUACUGGGCGUAAAGGGCUCGUAGGUGGCCAACUAAGUCAGACGUGAAAUCCCUCGGCUUAACCGGGGAACUGCGUCUGAUACUGGAUGGCUUGAGGUUGGGAGAGGGAUGCGGAAUUCCAGGUGUAGCGGUGAAAUGCGUAGAUAUCUGGAGGAACACCGGUGGCGAAGGCGGCAUCCUGGACCAACACUGACGCUGAGGAGCGAAAGCCAGGGGAGCAAACGGG
rnacentral:rRNA from 1 species